rnacentral:rRNA from 1 species
UUGAACGCUGGCGGCAUGCCUUACACAUGCAAGUCGAACGGCAGCGCGGACUUCGGUCUGGCGGCGAGUGGCGAACGGGUGAGUAAUACAUCGGAACGUACCCUGUUGUGGGGGAUAACUAGUCGAAAGAUUAGCUAAUACCGCAUACGACCUGAGGGUGAAAGUGGGGGACUGCAAGGCCUCACGCAGCAGGAGCGGCCGAUGUCUGAUUAGCUAGUUGGUGGGGUAAAGGCCCACCAAGGCGACGAUCAGUAGCUGGUCUGAGAGGACGAUCAGCCACACUGGGACUGAGACACGGCCCAGACUCCAACGGGAGGCAGCAGUGGGGAAUUUUGGACAAUGGGGGCAACCCUGAUCCAGCAAUGCCGCGUGUGUGAAGAAGGCCUUCGGGUUGUAAAGCACUUUUGUCCGGAAAGAAAUCGCGCUGGUUAAUACCUGGCGUGGAUGACGGUACCGGAAGAAUAAGCACCGGCUAACUACGUG